AGCUUUGUGCAGUGGCAGUAUCGUAGCCAAUGAGGUUUAUCCGAGGGGCGAUUAUUGCUAAUAGAGCUCAUACUAUAUAUCAGGAAUCAGCAAACUUUUUUG
rnacentral:snRNA from 1 species